UUUGGCUCGAAACAUGAAAGUAGCAAUUUUAGGUCAUUCGUUUGUACGCAGACUGGAAGAGUUUUCUCGAGAUACAAGAGAAAAGGUUCAUCCCGAACAUGAUAUUUCUUAUCAUGGGCGGUCUGGAUCACAGAUAGAAAACAUCUUAUCUAUGAUUGAUGAUAUUCCAGAAUCAACACAUCUAGUCUUCAUACAAAGUGGAGGAAAUGAUAUCAAUCCAAGAAAACGACCCGAGUCUAUAGCGAGUGCUAUGGUGAGAUUGGCUGAACGUAUUGUUCACUCUAGAGGAAUUCCUGUACUUAUAGGAUCAGUAUUUGUGCGCCCAAAACCUCGUUAUCAAACGGCUGAAGACUAUGAUAAAGAUCGUAAAGAACUGAAUAGUGAACUGAAACGCAUGCUUAAGCACAAGACUAAAAUUAGAUUAUCAAAACAUGAAAGAUUUUUCAGGAGGGGGCCAGAAAAACCACAUAUGCUAGAUGAUGGAGUCCAUCUUAAUCCCAUCGGUCAAAAGCUUUUUAUGCUUUUCAUAAGGAAGGAAAUCGAUAAAGCUUUGAGAAGAUUUUAUACACUUCAUGGCCCCAAUUUUAAAAUACGUCCAAAUAUACCACCAGCAGAAAGAGAAAGGUUAACAUCAAUGAAAAAUAACAAUUUUUACUCAAGUCAUGUACCUUACAAGAGAAGACAAACCAUCUAACAAUUAUUAUCAUAUAAUUUCCAUUUCAUGGAAAACAUUUGUAUGGCUUGGUUUAUUGGCCUUUUAACAUUUAUUAAAUUAACUGUGUGUUAAAACAGUUGGCCUAAGAAGAAACAGUUCUAUAUUAGCAUUGAGAAAUAAAUGAACAUUAUACGUGUUGUUUUAUUCAUAUCAAAAAUAGAUGUGAAUAUUAUGUUCUGUUGUUGGAAAUAUUUUAGUAGCACAUAAAACAACCCAGUUGAUUGAACCAUUAAGUACUAUAGAUGCAUAAUUAUACAAAAUGAAGAUUGAAAAAAUGAUCAUUAAUGAAUUGUGCCUUGACAGUGCUAAUAACUAUAAUAGAAGAUUAAAAGAAAUCUUGAUCCUAAUAAAGUCUGAAAUUAUCUUCCAAUGAAUUCAAUUCAGCAUUGUAUUGUGAAAUAAAAUAUAAUUAUUAUUUUGUUACCAAUUAAACAAAUGUUUAUUUUUAUGACAAAAAACCAAAGAGAAGAAAGGUACAUGUAGGUAAAGAAUUACCUAAAUAAAUCAUUAAAAAAGAAGUUGUGUUACCAGAAUGUAAAUUCCAAUAGAAACUCUAUCUGGAUCCAGUAAUCUGUAAAUAUUUGUUUUAUUUCAUAUCUUUUACAUAUUUAAAAGAAGACUGAAACAUUUGCAUGUGUGUUAUUAAAUCAAUAAAAUAUUCCAUUAAAAGUUAUUAAA